UCGGGGGCAUUUCUGCAUCGCUUCAGCUGCGGCUGUGAUCAGCUUUUCGAAGUUCUCCUUGAAGAUGGGCUGUAGCGGUUUGAAAGGCAAAACAAUUCUGCUAACAACACCCACCUCUCAAACUCCCAGCAGCUGAUGACUUGUCUGGAGGACAAAGGAGAAGUAUUACAGUCAAGUUCUAGAUGUACACUGAAGUAAUUACUUGCAGGUAUUUAAAAUGUGUCUUUGCAUUUCCUGCAUAACUGGAUCCUAGCUCAUUAAGGAUCUCCUGCACUUUCCAGUGCCCCAGCAAAAUGUGGCUGCUCCACAAGAACAGAGAUCCUGCAGAGGAGGGAGUGUCUGAGAGAGAGUUUUUCAGCAGAGAAGGACCACAGAAUGUGGCUUGGAGGUGCUUUGAAUAGGCUUUCUUCAAGGUUCAUCAUGUCAGGAUAAUGCAAGAUAAGAAUUCUUACUUACUGGAGGACCAGGUGGACCAGGUUCCCUGCAUGCCCAUCCCACUGACAGAGACCUGGACCUGCUCUGUGUCUGUGACAGCCCUGGCAGAGCUGCACCAAGGUGCUGGAGGCAAAUGUAUGGAGAGCUUGCAUAGCAGUCAGGAACAGCCCAUAAGACAUUCUGUCAGCAGGAGAAACAGCUGGAAAAGGCAUCACCCAAGGAAAAUAAACAGAGCCAAGCAGUGUUUGCCAUCUUCUGGCCUGCAUAUCUGACACGGUAUGUUAAUAACAAUGGCCUGAACUUCAGGAAAGCAGCUCCAGACUCUCUGAUGCAGUGGUAUCUACUUUUCCUCUUUCUUUCCUGAACCUGAUUGUCACUGUCCUGUCUCAGGCACACAAAGCAUCUGCUUUGCUAUCUAUUUUUCAGUAUUUUCUCAUGUUACAUAAAUCUCAGUAUUAAUGAUGAGGGGAUAGAUGUGGGAAAGCAAAGAAAAUCCCAGAGAGAGUUUAUGUUACACAAAAUGUUUCAUACUCUGUCACCAAAUUCAGGAGUAUCUUAUCAAAUGGUGAGCUAUAGAGAAAAGACAAUAAUAUAUGGAGAAUAUUUAUGUCCU